AGUUUGAUCCUGGCUCAGGAUGAACGCUAGCUACAGGCUUAACACAUGCAAGUCGAGGGGCAGCAUCAUCAAAGCUUGCUUUGAUGGAUGGCGACCGGCGCACGGGUGAGUAACACGUAUCCAACCUGCCGACAACACUGGGAUAGCCUUUCGAAAGAAAGAUUAAUACCGGAUGGCAUAGUUUUCCCGCAUGGGAUAAUUAUUAAAGAAUUUCGGUUGUCGAUGGGGAUGCGUUCCAUUAGGCAGUUGGCGGGGUAACGGCCCACCAAACCUACGAUGGAUAGGGGUUCUGAGAGGAAGGUCCCCCACAUUGGAACUGAGACACGGUCCAAACUCCUACGGGAGGCAGCAGUGAGGAAUAUUGGUCAAUGGACGAGAGUCUGAACCAGCCAAGUAGCGUGAAGGAUGACUGCCCUAUGGGUUGUAAACUUCUUUUAUACGGGAAUAAAGUGAGCCACGUGUGGCUUUUUGUAUGUACCGUAUGAAUAAGGAUCGGCUAACUCCGUGCCAGCAGCCGCGGUAAUACGGAGGAUCCGAGCGUUAUCCGGAUUUAUUGGGUUUAAAGGGAGCGUAGGCGGGUUGUUAAGUCAGUUGUGAAAGUUUGCGGCUCAACCGUAAAAUUGCAGUUGAUACUGGCGACCUUGAGUGCAACAGAGGUAGGCGGAAUUCGUGGUGUAGCGGUGAAAUGCUUAGAUAUCACGAAGAACUCCGAUUGCGAAGGCAGCUUACUGGAUUGUAACUGACGCUGAUGCUCGAAAG
rnacentral:rRNA from 1 species